GCUUUGGUUAAAAAGGUGUCAGCCAAAUCCCAUAUACUGUAAUUUUUAUAACUAGAAUCAUGGGGUCGUGUGUGUGUGUGUGUGUGUGUGUGUGUGUGUGUGACCAAAUGGGUCUAUGUCUGGAGGAGGGGUUGGGUCUAUGCCCGGAGGAGGUGUUGGGCCCGGGCAUGUCUCUGAGUUUAUUGUUUGAAGUCCCCUUCAUGUGUCUUAUCAAACAGUUGGCUCGGCUCAGGCGUGCUGUUUAACUGACUACAAUCACAAUGGUUAAUUAUGUAUGUAUGUAUUGGGGGUCUAUGAUUCCCCCACACUUUGUAGAGGAGGUGUUGGGUCCGGACAUGUCUCUGAGUUUAUUGUUUGAAGACCCUUUCAUGUAUGCACCAUAUAGAGGGCUAGACGCUGUCGUCCUGUUUAACUGAUUACAUACACAGAUGUAUCUGUGAGAACUGUAUAUGGCUAGUGACAACUGUAUGCAUGCACGUAGAGUCAUUAUAAUGAUGUGUUUUGGUUGUGCUAGGUAGCCAUGUGUCUGCCCUGAUGUUGCUAACUACUCUGCAUAGGGGGAUGUAAGCAGUUAGUGUAUGGGGGGUUAGGAUCAAACAAUUAAACGGGUGAUGGCCGGAACCGGAGACUUGCUGUCUGAUGUUGCUAACUACUAUUCAUAUGGGGAUGUAAGCAGUUAGUGUAUGGGGCUUAGGAUCAAACAAUUAAACGGUGAUGCUGGUUAGAACCGGAGACAUGGUGUCUGAUAUUGCCAACUACUAUGCAUAUCAGGAUGUAAGUAGUUAGUGUAUUGGACAGAGGAUCAAACAAUUAAAAACGUAUUGGCAGGGGGUGGCGACUGUCUGGAUCUGCAUUUGUAAUAAGGCCUAUGGCAUACAGUAGGCGGGGUGAUGAGGGUCGUGGUCAAUGUUCCGUUGACCAAUUGAAGGCCUGGGGGCCAAACCUACAAACUAAUGUAAUGACAUAUUACCGGCCUACAUUUUGAAUGGUCAGCCCCUAAGGUUUAAAAAUCCCUGUUAGAACAUUCUGCCAGGUAUUCAUCAGUCUUCAUCAUUGACUUGUCUGUAGUCAGAAGAUAGCUGUGCAGCAUGGACCUCAGUACAUGUGAGUAUGUAUUUGCAUUAAGAUCUAUUUACCCUUACUGUCAAUGGUUGUCUAUAACAUACAUGAAAUACUUUAAUUGCCAUUAACGCAUUUUUGUUUUUUUGUUUUUGUUUUUAACAGUUUGUCAAUCCUUGGUGGUUCAUUGAAUACAACUGGUGAUCCUAUAGCAUCUAAUGUUAGACCCGGAUAUCUAAGCCUACUUUUGCAUGGUGAUAUACUUGACAAGGCAGAGGGUGAUUGUGCUUCUGAAGGUCAUCAGAGACUCCGACACAACAGAGUCCAUUCUGCCUGGCGAACACGAAUUGGAUAUACCGAUCGGGGUGUCUGAAGUGGAGGACACAUCGAGUAGGCCUACCCCCACGGGGUCUACAGCCGCUACAGCGGGGGUAUCAUCCGACGUCCGUAUCUAUCACAAAGCAACUGAGAAGCGUCGUCAUUGCGAUGUUGAAGAAGAUCUAAACGAAACUGAGGGGUCUGCUAAGCGGUUAUAUGUGGGUGUUCAAGAAACGAUUGAUCUGACUACAACGGAUGACGCUAUAGGCCUUGGAGACGCAUCUAUCAACAACGGGGUUGCUUAUUCAAAGGACUAUCGACCUAUUGUCAAGACUCAAUCAGAGGAUAUCAACCGCGCGGAUUUAUGGACUGAUACACAACUUGAAACAUGGGAUAUUAAUGGAACGGAUUUUGAUGACAUAUCUGACUGGGAUAUACUAAACGCUGUGGAGGCCAACGAAUACUGUGAAGUUCAUAAAAGAAAUGUGUAUAUGCUUGGAGGAAAUAUAUCACUGUCUGGACGGUUCCCGAAGCUGUCGAAGAAACACACAUCACCUUCUUCAGUUAUGUACGUAGCUAACCAGUGUUCACCAGGUUGGUCUGAAUUAUGUGUAUUAAUUAUCACAGAGGCUGGUAAAUGAUACACGGGUGUUUUAGGUAGUUGAUCACAAGCCAAUACCCCUAGAAAAUGUGUAUUUUUGGAUAUAUUAUCCAUAAUAGUCGAUAAUUCAACAGUAUUCAUGAUCUUUCAGUAGUAGUCCAUCAAAAUCUGUCUUCGAUUAGACACCUCAAUUAUACUGUCAAAUACCGCAUACACAAUCAAAUUUAUUGUAUUCGGCAACGGUUGUCUGAACCGCACUUCCAAACGGAUAUUGCCUGACUUUAUUAAUGACAGAUGCUGGCCACACUCCUCGUCAGGCGUUAAAUUAAAAGCAAAAAUACUGUAACCGGACAAGUAAUCCUGACGAUUUAUGACCAGUGCUUUGUUUUUCAGAUGUCUUCCUGUGGAUAACACCAAUUGGUAAAACUCCCGUACGGCAGACGCUUCAUUAAAUUUCGGCUGUAGCGGCUUAGACGGGUAUUGUUGUCCAUCUACAUAAACGGCUAGGAAUUCCAGAUCAUAAUGUUUAAACGCAUAAGGAUUUUUUGUGUAUGAACCAGUAUGGGCAUCAUUAUCGACCAUUGCUAAUAUGAUGGAUUUUGGUAACGCCCCCAGAAAUAGGUUUUCCUGAUUAGCCACCCGCGUACCAGCGGGUAUUGAGAAAUUUUUUAGACAUACUCUAUCAAUAGGGUAUUUAGCAGUGGUGGACUGCAAUGCUUGCGCAUGACCCAGUCUCACAGCCGGAGAUACAGAAACUUUCUUCACAAAAAGACUUGCUGAAAGAAUGUUGAUUUUGUAUGCUACAGCAUCACUGCGCAUUAAACAGAAUUCAUCCUUCGCUCUAGUUAGUCUUAUUUUGAUAUCAAUUCCGUUUAACAUCAAUUUUUCUUGAAAAAAUAUGUCGCUGUGGAUUGGAGCUAACAAUUCUACAACAUUACUCGAUUCAGAAAAUGCAGCUCUCUUUGUGAGACCUUCGUUGGCCCCUCCAGGAUCCCCGACAUCCAUAUGGCCUGCUGUAUCUUUGUAAAACAGCCCCGCAGAGAAAAUGGUCUCCAGGGCCUCACGGUCAUAAUUCAAUAGACAAUCUAUAAUACAGCGGUAUGGAUAGGUGUUUGAGCUCUGCGAUAUGAGCCGAUCCCCCAGUGUUAUGUCGACCUGAGAGAAGAUUGAGCCGCCAGGGUAGUUUAUCAAACCCACAGGCGCCCCCGCUGGUAGGUCCGCCCCGUUGGGUAAGGUGAUUUUUAACCUUGUAUACAAUAGCGAAUUAUUCAAAUCAAUAUAGUCUUGACCAUUUCCCGCGACAAAAAACUCCAGGGGUCCUGUGUCUGACAGAGCUGAUAUGGGAGGUAUCUCAACAUAGGUGUUUUUCUCUAUAGCCGUUUGAGUCAUAGGCACUGUAAAAAGAUCCAACUCAGAUUUGACACACUCCGCCGACAUGCCGUGUAUCAGAGCCAUGGUUAGAAUAUGGAUUUACGCCUCUUUUUAGCAGGUCUACUCCCCCGGUGUUUACUCUGAGCCUUCCUUUUCGACACUGAUCUUUUCUUAGCCUUUACAUUGUUUUUCUUUGUGUAUCUUCCUCUUCUCACACCUGGCGGUCGUUUCAUGUGUCUACGUUGCAUUACUAACACCCCCGACCCCUCUUGACUGUUGUGGGCUUGCAUGACGUUGCUCACCACAUCACUGACGAUAUUUUUAGCUGCCGCUUUUAAAUGCGGUUUAGCGAUUCCAAUACCCCUACGCAAUAGAGGCAUAGCCAUUCUGUACAGACCUUUUAGGAGCGAUCCCAAGCCGAAUCCACCAUACAUGACAGGGCCCCCAGCGAACCCGUCAAUAUGGCCACCCGCCUGGUUUUGAUAAUAUGUAACAUAACGAUGUGGGUCCGCGUAGGGAUUAAAUUCUUUCAUUUUUAAAUUCUUGGAAGUUGUUUUACCGGUCUGAAAUGGAGUUUUGUAAUCACUUUGCCGUACUUGAAUGACACGUUGUGGUUUUGAUCACUUUUCACCUCUAUGGUAAUGUCGUCAAUGUGUGAUUUAGACACACGUGCGUAGUGUGGUUUGUCGUAGCCGAUUGUGACUAUAUUUUUGGUCUCCCCCGUUAUUUCUACACAUCGCAGGAGUGGUACAUAAUAGUCACCUACAACUUGGUGGUCUAUAAUGUCUGUAUAGACAAAUAAUGUAUAUUCCCCGC